rnacentral:rRNA from 1 species
AACGAACGCUGGCGGCAGGCUUAACACAUGCAAGUCGAACGCCCCGCAAGGGGAGUGGCAGACGGGUGAGUACCGCGUGGGAACAUACCCUUUUCUAUGGAAUAGCUCUGGGAAACUGGAAUUAAUACCGUAUACGCCCUACGGGGGAAAGAUUUAUCGGGGAAGGAUUGGCCCGCGUUGGAUUAGCUAGUUGGUGGGGUAAAGGCCUACCAAGGCGACGAUCCAUAGCUGGUCUGAGAGGAUGAUCAGCCACAUUGGGACUGAGACACGGCCCAAACUCCUACGGGAGGCAGCAGUGGGGAAUAUUGGACAAUGGGCGCAAGCCUGAUCCAGCCAUGCCGCGUGAGUGAUGAAGGCCUUAGGGUUGUAAAGCUCUUUCACCGAUGAAGAUAAUGACGGUAGUCGGAGAAGAAGCCCCGGCUAACUUCGUG